UGAGAACAUUGUUUUGUAGCGAGGUACGACGGAGUCCAGUGAUUUGAAAAAAGGUUUGGUUAAUGCUAUUCAAGACCUAUAUGAUGUUGUUCAUCAUGAAGCGUUUUCGGUUGAUAUGAGUGGCCACAUUGAAGACUGGGAUCAAAUUAGAUUAGCAAGGGCUGAAGGUCGCCUCUUCAAUAAACUCAAGUGGCCAAAUGAUCCCAAAUUGAAAGACUUGAUCAAGAGAUUGUAUUCACUUCUGACAAUUAAAGAAUCUGCUGCAACUGUCCCUAAAAAUUUAGAAGCCAGGCGAAGACUUCAGUUCUUUACGAACUCACUGUUCAUGGAAAUGCCUGUUGCACGACCUGUUUCGGAAAUGGUCUC